CUUAAAGGAAUUGACGGGGGCCCGCACAAGCGGUGGAGCAUGUGGUUUAAUUUGACGCAACGCGCAGAACCUUACCAGGCCUUGACAUCCCGUGACCGGCACAGAGAUGUGUUUUUCCCUUCGGGGACGCGGAGACAGGUGCUGCAUGGCUGUCGUCAGCUCGUGUCGUGAGAUGUUGGGUUAAGUCCCGCAACGAGCGCAACCCUCGCCUUUAGUUGCCAUCAUUCAGUUGGGCACUCUAGAGGGACUGCCGGUGACAAGCCGGAGGAAGGUGGGGAUGACGUCAAGUCCUCAUGGCCCUUACGGCCUGGGCUACACACGUGCUACAAUGGUGGUGACAGAGAGCAGCGACCUGGCGACAGGUAGCCAAUCUCAAAAAACCAUCUCAGUUCAGAUUGCACUCUGCAACUCGGGUGCAUGAAGGUGGAAUCGCUAGUAAUCGCAGAACAGCAGGCUGCGGUGAAUACGUUCCCGGGCCUUGUACACACCGCCCGUCACACCAUGGGAGUUGGUUCGGCCUUAAGACGGUGCGCUAACCCGCAAGGGGGGC
rnacentral:rRNA from 1 species